AAAAUUAUUUGGGAUAAUCAAGAGAGCUCAGAUGAAAGAGUAAUAGCCAGAAUCGAGCAUUUGCUUGUCAUUCAUUUAACCGGUACUCACUGAACAAAUGGAAAGCACUUGAAGGAGAAGAGAGAUUCCUUUCCUUUCCCUAGACUUCAACCUUUCUACUUCAUAAGACUAGACCUCUAAAAUGUUUAUGUACCCACUUGCCUAGACAAACAUUCAUAUAAUCACACUGGUUGGUGCCAGUGUGCGUGUGCUGUUGUUGGGGAUGUUGUUGAUGGGGAAAUGGUACAAAAGGUGGGCAGAGAGCAGAACUGUUACCUAGAGAUGGAGAGAAAUUGGGGCAACUCUCAUUAGUUUAUUCAUUCAUGGGUUCACUCAUUGAUUCAUUCCAUCUUUAAUUUAUUUCAUGUAACAUAUUUCCUGAGAACCUACUGUGUUGCAAGCAUUGAGCUAGCACAGCUAUCCUCCUUUCAGAUAGCUAACUAGCCAGCUGAAAAUGAGUUGCUGUAAUUUUACAGAGGAAAUAACUCAAAUAACAACUUGUAGUAUUUUCAGUACUUUUAGUAGUUUGCUUCACUAACACAAAAAUGUAUUUUUUAAAAAAGGGAAAAAAACUGAGUGGUGCAACGAAAAGCAAAAAUACUUUCCUAAUUACAGAUGUCCAUCUGUGGGUCUAUUAGUCUUAAAUUACCAGUGAUUAAAUUCUAAUUGUAGCAGAGAAACAAGCUUCUAGGCAGUUAAAAAGAAAAACAACAAAACCAAACAGUGAAACAGAGUACAAUGAAUACGGGUAAUUUAUCUAUCUCUACAUUUAAGCUAUAUCUAAGAGCGAGCCUGUCUCCUUGCACACCUUUUCUCUGCUUUCAAGAAAUAAGACAGUGUUUUCAAUGAAGUUAUGAAUCUCUUAUCCAAACAGCGAGCUCGAGUAUGAAAUAUGCAUGUUAGCAAGUGAUAAACACUUUGAAAGGAAAUUUUGAUAAAUUUUCUCAUUUGAAGCCAGUUCCCUUUAAGAAGCUAGACAUAUGUUUUAUGUGUAAUUACAUAACAACAAUUCUAUAGAAAAAAAUAAAUCUCUUCUCCAGAGUUAACGAGAUCCUUUCUUUGCAAGAAGUAGAGAGUAGAGUGCAUUCCUGCUCUGCAAUCCUGAAUUUUGCUCAGGGGCAUGUAACAGUAUCUGAGCCUGCAAGGGCACCCGUCUUCCUACCAAUUUCUCAGCCCAUUACUAGAGUACCUUAGGCAUCAGCUGAGGUGCCUUGUCUUUUUCAACUCAGUGGAAUGGACUUGAGCCUUAUCCCACACGUGGUGGUAACCCCAUAUUCCUCAUUCUUACCAUAAAUUCUAACAGGGAAGGGGAAGGUGAGGAUGGUAUGUGCUUUUCCUGGCCAAUUCUGACUCUGAAUUGCUUCUUCUAAGGUUACGUUAUUAAUUGUGAUGCCUUCCCACAAGAGCUGUGUCUGUACUGUGCCACAUAACCCCUGAAGCUGAAUAAAGAACUUUCUCCUUGAUUCCCCCAGCCCUCCAAAAACAUCAGCAGGUGAUGAGGUCCCAUUGUAAAUGACCCAAGGACAAACAGCUCAUGACUUCAAAGGAGGCCUCUUCAACCCAGGGCAAAUUCAGGCCUUCAUUCCAGGGGUCUGUAAGCAAGUACUGAGUGAAGAGAUAUCCUAAAAUCAAUCGUUCCUCUUUGCCAACCCUGGAUAAUGGCAACAACUUCUUUAGUGGCAUGCUGCAUGCUCUGUUUGGUCAUGUCCAGAGAUACCCAAGAUAAAGAAGUUUGAUAAAUAUACACAUUAACUCAGCAAAAAUAACAUGGUUAUUUUCAUGAAUAUUGCACUUGGGCACAUCAGCAAAAUUCAAAAGUGAUAAAAGGUGAGCAUUGUAUAUGAAUUUUGCAUAUGUACAUGGUAAUAUUUUGACACUAGGAACAAUAUUUUAAGUUGAAAUGUCUAUAUUUUAAUUUAGUAAAGAUUUGGCAAGCCCCUGCUAUAUUAGCAAUAUCAAGAUAAUGAGAUAAAGAUCCCACUCUCAAUAAAAAUAUAAAAUUAUACAUGUUUCUUGUGCCCAUCAUCAGCCAUCGUUAUGAACAUCACUCUGAACUGUUAUGCACAAUAAGAUAACUAGAGGGUUAAAAAUGAAGGUUUUACUGCUCACGUUGAAUAUUAUUUUUAGAAAAGAAAGUCAUUUCUAUUAUAGAGGAGGCAUUGUGGUCUACUAUAAUGGCAAGCAUAUUAAAAACAAUGCAUUCCUGGUGAAAUAAUGCUUAGAGCAUAGUCAACAAAAUAAGCAGGCUGCUGAAAAAAGUUUAAAUGUCAUAUUUCAUUAAUUCUAAGACACAUUUCCUCCUGCUUUUAGAUCUCUCAAAUUGAAAGGCAUCUUACAACCUAUAGAUGAAAUCUAGUAAAUAGAAUAAGAUAAAAAGUAUCUUAGUUUCUUUCCUUGGGUUGUUUGCCUUUCUUUUAAGGGAAGGUUUGUUUGACUGUUGUGUUUUGUUUUUAACAGCUUGUUUAUGAAUCUUCCCUUUUCUAGCGUUAAUGAUUGUGUGAGCCUAGAAUUUAAAUGGUACAAAACUCUGAUUUUUGUUUUUAUUCUUUGUUCUGACCAUUACUGAGGGGAGUACAGGACACUGAAGCAGAAACAAGGUCUGAAAGUGGCAAUGUGGACCUUGCUCCUCUGUGGAGGACUCUGGUACCUGUCUGUGUCUGAAUCUUGCCACUUCCACUUAUCUAGCUUUGCGAUCUGGAAAAGAUUAACUUUAGCCUCUCUGUGCCUCAGUUUCUUCAAGUGCUGAAUAAUGGUAUCUACCUCAUAGUGCUGCUAUGAGGGUUGAGUUUAAUAUAAGUAAGGCCUUAGAAUAAUGCCUGGCACAUACUAAAUAUUCUCUCAACUUUAGCUGUUACCAUUGUGCCUCACUUCC
rnacentral:lncRNA from 1 species